GCAAAGCCUGCCGGAUCCCCGAGCACUUAUCUGUGAGCGUCCGGGUGGGGGUGGGUGCUGGGUCUGGUGGACGCGUUCGGCGGUGGCAUGUCUGUCUCAGCCUGAGCUCGUUCCCCGAGCCUGGGCCCUCUGGGCUCUCGGAGUCGCCUCCAGGGCGCUUUCACGGUUCCCCACGCCCGCGGUCCCCGUCCUCGCCCCCUCCAAGCCCGGCGGGUCGCACGGCACGGGGCGGGGCCUGCAGCGGUGACGGACGCGAAGCGGCGUCCCAGGUUGGCCGACUUUGAGCUGCUCAGGCCUCAUGCUGUACUUCAGAUUCCCUUCCAUCUCCACCGCCAGAACUGAGGGCUCUGCUUGCUCUUGGCAACCUCCGGUCCCACCUGCGCUGAGGCUUUACAUCGAUCCCGGCAGCUUGGAGUUUCCGUCUGAAGAUUGUGGUCACCUGGCCUGAGGAACCCCAGCCUCGUCAUGGACCCAGAGUGCUCCCGGCUCCUCCCUGCCCUCUGUGCCGUCCUGGCAGACCCCAGGCAGCCUGUGGCAGACGACACUUGUUUGGAGAAGCUGCUGGACUGGUUUACAACAGUAACCGAAGCGGGGUCCAGCCUCCUGUUACUACAGGAGAAUCCCUGCCUGGUAGAGCUGCUGUUCCACGUGCUGAAAUCCCAGGACCUGAGUUCCAGAAUCCUCUCCUUCUCACUCCGCCUCGCAGGGAUAUUUGCAGCCCAGGAAGACUGCUUCCAGUAUCUUCAGCAGGGGGAGCUGCUGCCCAUGCUCUUCGGGGAGGCGGGCCCCCUCGGAGGAGCGGCCUGGACGGCCCCCGCUGUGCGCAGCGGCUGGAUCCAGGGCCUGCGCACCCUGGCACAGCACCCUAGUGCCCUGCGCCUCCUUGCCGCCUGUGGUGCUGUUGACACCAUCUUCUCCCUGCAGGGAGAUUCCAGCCUGUUUGUGGCCUCGGCAGCCGGGCAGCUCCUGGUGCACAUCCUAGACUUGGCGAUGCGAGGCCCAGCCGAGGGCCGCUGCAGUCCGCAGGCUUGUGACUGGCCAGCAUGUGCCCAGAAGAUUGUGUGUCACAUCGAAGACUCCCUGUGCUCCAUAGCCACCCCGCAGGUCACACAGGCCCUGAAUGUCCUGACCACCGUGUUCGGGCACUGCCAUGGCCUUUGGACGCAAGGCCUGUGGGUGCGGCUGAGCCCCCUCGUGGCCCGCCUGCUCGAGAAAGACCCUGUCCCAGCCUCACACUCGCUCGUGGAUCUCCUCCUCAGCGUGGCCCGUUCUUCUGUGCCGAGUUCUGACCGUGGCCUGUGGGAGACGUUGGCCCAGACUCUGAGCCACUUGAGCCCCACACAGGCCGGGCCUCUGGCUUUGGGGAUCCUGAAACUGCAGGACUGUCCACAGGCGCUGAGGACCCAGGCCUUCGGCGUCCUCCUCCAGCCCCUGGCCUGUGUCCUGGAAGCUGCUGCUCAGGCCCCUGGACCUCCAGGCUUGCUGGGUGGGGCCGCAGGCGACCCGAUGACGGUGGACACGCUCCUCUGCUCCAAGUCGGCCUGCGUGGGUCUCCUGUGCUGCGCUCUCGCCCACCUGGGGCUGCUGCAGCCGCUGCCCCAGCGCCCCUCGCCCUGGCCGCAGGCUCCCCUGCUUGGGGCUGCGGUGACGGUCCUGCGGCUCUGCAGUGGCUCAGCGGCCCCCACCUCCGAUGUGGGCGGCCGCCUCUGUGCGAUCCUGGUGGGCUGUGGCCGGGUCCAGCGAGCUGCCCUGGAUUUCUUGGGGGCGCUGUCUCAGGGGGCCGGCCCUCAAGAGUCGGUGACGCAGGUGUUUUCCGUUCUCCUGGAGUACCUCAUGAGCCCUGAGUCCAGCUCCAUGGUUCUGAAGAAGGCCUUCCAGGCCACACUCAGGUGGCUCCUGAGCUCACCCAAGACCCCCGGCUGCUGCGACCUGGACCCCCGCACCCAGCUGUUCCUCAGGGAGCUGCUUCCUGUGCUACAGAAGCGCCUGUGCAGCCCCUGCUGGGAGGUGAGGGACUCAGGCCUCGAGUUCCUGACCCAAAUGACCAGACACUGGGGAGGGCAGGCCGGCUUCAGACAAGCGCUCCUCGCUUCAGAGGUGCCCGAGCUCACCAAGCAGCUUCUGCAAGACCCUGAGAGUUACGUCCGCGCCAGCGCAGUGACCGCCACAGGGCAGCUGUCUAGCUGGGGGCUGCUUGCCGCCCCUGCCAGCCCUGAGCGCCCAGGGGCUCAGCAGAAGAGCCUGCUCGUGGAGCUUCUGCACGUCCUCUGCGCAGACUCAGAGGGCUUCCCCCGGAGGGCCGUCAUGCAGGUCUUCACCGAGUGGCUGAGGGACGGCCAUGCUGACGUAGCUGAAGACCCGGAGCGGUUUGUGGCCCGAGUGCUGCAGGCGGCGAGCAGGGACCCGGACUGGGAGGUGCGGGCCCAGGGCCUCGAGCUGGCGCUGGUGUUCCUGGGGCAGCUGCUGGGCCCGCGCGGCUCCCACUGUCCCUGCGCCGUGGCCCUGCCCGAGACAGCCCCGCCUGGCGCGCUGGCCCAGGCCCUGCCCGAGGCAGCCCCGCCUGGCACGCUGGCCCAGGCCCUGCCCGAGGCAGCCCCGCCUGGCACGCUGGCCCAGGCCCUGCAGGUGCUCUGCCGUGUGCAGCUCUUUGAGUUUGCCUUCCGUGCCUUGUUUGACUGUGAUCGACCUGUGGCCCAGAAGUCCUGUGAUCUUCUCCUAUUCCUGAGGGCCAAGGCUGCUCUCUGUGGCAGCCCGCAGGAGGCGGGGGACAGUCCCAACGUGGCCUCUGUGGAGGCCACCCUGCAGAGAUGGCAGGCAGGUGAGCAGGGUCAGCCCCUGGGGUACCUGGAGCCUGGGGCCGUCAUGGCUGUGCUGAGGUCUAUAGACCUGGAGGGCCUUCGGGACACUCUGGCUGAGAGCAGUGACCACGUGGAGAAGAGCCCCCAGUCACUCCUGCAGGACAUGCUGGCUGCCGUGGGCGUCCUUGGGGAGAACGAGGCCGACUGCUACUGACCCGCCUUGUGGCGACCUCCCCAGGACCCUGCUGCUGCACCACGUCCCGUCCUCGGGCCCUGCCAUCCUGAGGGCUCUAGUCUGGCCUGGCUGCACAAGGGACCCUCCAGGGAAGUCAGGACCAGGACUCAGGAAUGCAGUGGGACCAAGUGCAUCGGACCAACCAGCUGGGGUUUGCCACCGUGCGCCCAAUUCCAGGACACAAAGCCCACACGUGUCUGCUUGUGGCUUCCAGGUCUACCCAUGUUGCUGCAAAUGGACAAAUAUUUUUGUUUAUGGCUGAGUAAUAUUCCAUUGUGAGUGUGUGUGUGUGUGUGUAAUCUUCUUAUCCAUUCAUCUAUUGAUGGACACCUGGGUUGCUGUCACAUCUUAGUUAUUGUAAAUAGUGCUGCUAUGAACAUUGGGGUGCAUGUAUCUUUUCAAAUUAGUGUUUUCAUUUUUUUCUAGAUAUAUACUCAGGAGUGGAAUUGCCGGAUCAUAGGGUAGUUUUAUUUUUAGUCUUUUAAGAAACCUCCGUAAUGUUCUCCAUAGUGGCUGCACCAAUUUACAUUCCCACCAACAGUGCACAAGGUUUCCCUUUUCUCCACAUCCUUGCCAACGUUUAUCAUUUGUAGAUUUUUUGAUGGUAGCCAUUUUGACAGGUGUGAGGUGGUAUUUUAUUGUGGUUGUGAUUUGCAUUUCUUUGAUGAUUAGCAAUGUUGAGCAUCUUUUCAUGUGCCUGUUGGCCAUAUGUAUAUCUUCUUUGGAAAAAAAUGUCUCUUCAGGACUUCCACCCAUUUUUUAAUUGGGUUAUUUGUUUUUUUGGAUGUUGAGUUGCAUGAGUUGCUUAUACAUUUUGGAUAUUAACCCCUUAUCGGUUAUAUCAUUUGCAAAUAUUUUCUCCCGUUCAGUAGGUUGUCUUUUCGCUAUGUCAGUGGUUUCCUUUGCUGUGCAAAAGCUUGUUUAUUAAGUCCCAUUUGGUUAUUUUUGCUUUUGUUUCCUUUGCCUUAGGAGAUAGAUCAAAAAAAAAAAAACUGCUAUGAUUUAUGUCAAAGAGUGUUCUGCCUAUGUUUUCUUCAAGGAGUUUUAUGGUUUGUGGUCUUUUAUUUACGUUUUUAAUCCAUCUUCAGUUUAUGUAUAUGAUGUGAGAAAAUGUAAUAGUUUAAUUCUUUUACAUGUAGCUGUCCAGCAUUCCCAGCACUGCUUAUUGAAGAGACUGUCUUUUUCCAUUGUAUAGUCAUGCCUCCUUUGUUGUAGAUUAAUUGACUAUAAAUGCAUGGCUUCUCUAUUCUGUUGUAGAUUAAUCGACCAUUUCUGACUCUAUUCUGUUUCAUUGAUAUACGUGUCUGUUUUUGUGCCAGUACCAUACUGUUUUGAUUACUGUAGCUUUGUAGUAUAGUCUGAAGUCAGGGAAUGUGAUACCUCCAGCUUUGUUCUUUUUUCUCAAUAUUAUGUUGGCUAUUCAGGAUCUUUUGUGCUUCUAUAUUAAUUUUAGGAUUAUUUGGUCUAUUUCUGUUAGAAAUGUAACAUGUAUUUUGAUAGGAAUUGCAUUAAAUCUAUAGACUGCUUUGGGUAAUAUGGACAUUUUAACAAUAAGAAUUAUUCAGAUCCAUGAACGUGGGAUAUCUUUCCAUUUCUUUAUAUCCUCAUCAGGUUCCUGCGUUAGUGUUUCAUAGUUUUCAGAGUAUAGGUCUUUCACCUCCUUGGUUAAGUUUAUUUCUAAGUAUUUUAUUCUUUUUGGUGUGAUUUUAAACGGGAUUGUUUUCUUGCUUUCUCUUUCUAAGAGUUCAUUAUUAGUGUAUAGAAAAGCAGCAGAUUUCUGUAUAUUAAUCUUGUAUCCUGCAACUUUACUGAAUUAAUUUAUUCUGACAGUUUUUUGAUGGAGAUUUUAGGGUUCUCUCUAUAU